rfam:Leeuwenhoekiella marinoflava DSM 3653 genome assembly, contig: EJ63DRAFT_scaffold00002.2
GAAGCAGACCGCCUUAUCGCUUUCAGUAAAACUUUGUUUUAAAGGAAGAGGAAAGUCCGGACACCACAGGGAAGCAUAGCGGCUAACGGCCGUCGGUCUCGAUGAAAAUUGAGAUUAGGACCAGUGCAGCAGAAAGAAUGUACAGGUAAUGCUGUAGUGAAACCAGGUAAACUCUAUGCGGUGCAAUGUCAUGUAUACCGGCAAUUAAGUGCGUCUCGUGCGAUGCCGGAGGGUAGACAGAUUGAGCAAAUAAGUAAUUAUUUGUCUAGAUAAAUGAUAAGGUAUUACUGCUUGCAGUAAGAACAGAAUCCGGCUUACAGGUCUGCUUUUUUA